rnacentral:rRNA from 1 species
UACGUAGGGGGCAAGCGUUAAUCGGAAUUACUGGGCGUAAAGCGUGCGCAGGCGGUUCUAUAAGACAGAUGUGAAAUCCCCGGGCUCAACCUGGGAACUGCAUUUGUGACUGUAGAGCUGGAGUACGGUAGAGGGGGAUGGAAUUCCGCGUGUAGCAGUGAAAUGCGUAGAUAUGCGGAGGAACACCGAUGGCGAAGGCAAUCCCCUGGACCUGUACUGACGCUCAUGCACGAAAGCGUGGGGAGCAAACAGG